rnacentral:lncRNA from 1 species
AGUGAAGCAAUUUACAGUAUGACACGGAAGAACACCACCAAGCGGACGCAGUUCCUGCUGUAAUUCACAAAAGAAGACGUCCACGGCAUCUUGAAUUUACUUCUUCAAUUCCAAAUCAAUAGUAAAUGCUCUCACUCUUCCACAGGAAAAACUAAAUGGAAACAAAAUCCCAGAGCUAAUCAAACAUUAUCCGACACUUGGCACAAUUAACACAGAAAGAAAACCCAAUUAGUCUAACGAAUCAAAAUUUCAAAAAAAAAAUGAAGAUUAUUUCAUUAGUCGAACAAAGAAAAAGCUCAUUAUCAAUUGACAACACAAAAAUCAAAUUAAAAUAAUUUAUUAAUUUGAGCAGUUUCCUAGCAACAUAAACAGAAGCUAAUAACACAGAAACACUCACAAAACAGACAAUCAGCAGAAUUAAAAAUUACUUAAACAAUGCAAAGGGGGUUCCAAGGUUGGGGUUGCCAAAGUAUGAGUGGUGGUCUGAGGCACUCCACGGUGUGUCAAAUGUUGGUCCCGGGACUUAUUUCGAUGAUCUUAUUCCGGGUGCAACAAGCUUCCCCACUGUUAUUCUUACCACCGCAGCGUUCAACCAGUCUUUGUGGAAGCAAAUUGGUCAGGUAUACGUUGUAUCACUACAUUUUUGUCAAUGUUUUUGGUUGGAAAAGAUGACAACACUAGACAAAGCUAUGGAAAUUACUUUUUAUUAAUAAAAAAAAUGCUCAAAGCUAUACUUUUCGUUUGCUUGAAUUGUAUAAAUAUAUUAAUUUAUAUAAUUUGAUCUUGUACUAAAUAAAUUUGUUUUCUUCACGACUAUUUUAGGUUGUUUCAACAGAAGCAAGAGCCAUGUACAAUCUAGGAAGAGCCGGGUUGACAUAUUGGAGUCCCAACGUUAAUGUAGUGAGGGAUCCGAGGUGGGGAAGAGCCACGGAAACACCCGGUGAAGACCCUUAUGUUGUUGGCGUUUAUGCCUCUAACUACGUCAGAGGCUUGCAGGAUGUUGAGGGCACAGAUAAUGCUACAGAUUUGAACUCUAGAUCUCUCAAAGUUUCCUCAUGCUGCAAACAUUAUGCCGCCUACGAUGUAGACAACUGGCUCGGUGUUGAUCAUUACCAUUUUGAUGCCAGGGUAAGUCUUUAAUGUUAGAUAAUAAACCACGUAUAAUCAACUAAUUAAAGUGAUACAAAAUGUGUUUCCUAGCAUAUUCUUAUUUCCUUUUUGUUAUGAAAAGGUGACGGAGUAAGAUAUGGCGGAAACUUUCCUAAAACCAUUCGAGAUGUGUAUUAAGGAUGGUGAUGUAAGCAGUGUAAUGUGCUCUUAUAACCGUGUUAAUGGCAUACCUACUUGUGCUGAUCCGAAACUCUUGACACAUACCAUUAGAGGAGAGUGGGAUCUUCACGGGUACGUAUGCUAAUCACUUUUAAAAAAGGGGUGUGCUAUCCACACACCCCAAAUUACUUCUCACACACCCCUUGUUAAUUUCUGUCCGUUGAUCUUCUUCAAUUCAUCUGAUCCGACGGUCGAAAAUUAAAAGGGUGUGUGAGAAGUAAAAUGGGGUAUGUGGAUAUCACACCCCUUAAAAAAACUUCUCCUAAAGUUUUCACGGAUACGAAUAAUUUUUUAUUUUAUUCUUUUGUCUUGCAGAUAUAUAGUCGCGGAUUGUGACUCUCUUGAAGUUAUGGUGGACCACCACAAAUGGCUCAGCGACACCAAUGAGGAUGCUGCUGCACAAGCUUUGAAAGCAGGCCAGUACUCCUUGCAAAAUUUACUUACUGAAUCGUUUUUGUUUGGGAAAUGCUUGUUGGCGUGAGGGGUUUUGUAAAAAGGGCAUAUAAAUAUAAGGAAAACUAAUGAAAAGGGCUUGAAAACUUUGAGUUUUAAUGAUAAGGACAAAAUAAAGGGUAAAAUGAAUAGUACCAGGAUUGACUUUUUAGUGUAAAAAUGUGAUUUUUCGUUAAAGUGAACAGUACCGGGUGCUUUUCGUUAAAGUUCCCAUAAAUAUAUUGUAAAUAUUAGGAAUCCUUUAUUAGGAAGGAUUUGUGAGUCCUUUAUUGUUACCUUGUAAAAUAAGAGUUGUAUCUUGUAUAUAUUUUUCCUUUAUGCAAUACAAAGAAAAUUAAACCGUAAAAUUCAAGUUGGCAUCAUAGCCUACCGUACCCUAGAAAAAUUCCCACCAUACCCGUGUAUCACAAAGAGGAAAGCAGCAAGGUUUCUGGGUUGUCGCUGCAUCUCUGUAACAAGCCAAACCCUUGUGUGUAGUUGUUGUGUUCUGUGUUGUUGUGCCGUAUACAAUUUGGCUUAGGCAAUAGUAUUUGUAUCUGCUGCAGUAACUUCAAGUUUGUAACAGGGCUAUCUAACGUGUUUUACUGCUGUCUUCAGUGCGGCUAUAAUCAAAAUUGUCGUCUGCGAUUGGCUUUAACAAGGAGUUGUUUACUGAUGAUAUGACAAUUUUUUGCUGCUUGCUGUCCAGUUUGUUGCAGUGAGUAUAACUACAAUUCUUGUGUCGUGUUGCACUUGAAUUGUUCUCGAGUAUCAUGCCUUUGUUCCUGUUCUCGAGUAAUUGAUUGAUUCAGCAUGUCGUUCCGUAAUUGGUGUGGUGUUGUGAUUGUCGUGUAUUACUGUCUCGUGAGUUAUUACAAUGACGAAUGCAGGUUGGAUUUUGGAUUCUGGUGCAACAGAUCAUAUGACGUAUGAUAAAACCUUGUUUCAAUCUAUGACACAUCCUCAUAGAAAGUGUGUGGCAACCGCCAAUGGUUCUACUGCUGUUGUUGUUGGAGCGGGAACAGUGUCUCUUACACCCUCUCUUCCCAUACAUAAUUGUUUAUUGGUUCCGUCAUUGUCUCAUCACUUAUUGUCGGUACCUCAAGUCACUGAACAAUUGGAUUGUGUUGUAUUAAUGUAUCCUUCAUUUUGCUUGCUUCAGGAUAUUCAGACAAAGGAGAUCAUUGGGCGUGGCACUAAGAGAAAUGGGCUAUAUUAUGUGGAUGAUGUGGUUCUUGGAAGAGCUAAUUUGGUUCAUGCAUCACGUAAUAGUAGUCUACAGAAUGUAUUGUUAUUGCAUCGUCAUUUGGGGCAUGCAUCGUUUGGUUAUUUGAAACAUAUAUUACCUGAUUUGUUCAGUGGUAUUGAAGACUCAGAAUUGAAAUGUGAAGUAUGUAUUUUAGCCAAAAGUCAUCGUGCUUCAUUCCCUCCAAGUAUGAAUAGAACAUCUUCUCCAUUUGCGCUAGUACACUCUGAUGUGUGGGGGCCUUCCCUUAUUAGUACUACUUCGAGAAUCAAAUGGUUUAUUACAUUUGUUAAUGAUUGCACUCGUAUGACGUGGGUUUAUCUGUUGAAACAUAAAAGUGAUGUUAGUAUGAUUAUUCGGUCUUUCUCUCAGAUGGUGGCUACAUAAUAGUCCUCCGUUAUUAAGGUUCUUCGUACUGAUAAUGGGGGAGAAUAUGUUAACUCUGAGCUGUCUACUUUUUUCCGUGAUCAAGGAAUUCUUCAUGAGACAACGUGUUUGUAUACCCCACAACAGAAUGGGGUAGCUGAGAGAAAAAACGGUCAUAUUUUGGAAACUGCUCAUGCAUUGCUUAUUGGUGGGUCUGUGCCCAAAAGUUUUUGGCUAGACGCCAUCACCUAUGCCGUGUAUGUUAUAAAUCGCAUGCCAUCCCGGGUUGUAAAAUUUCGUACUCCACUCCAAGUGUUGACGGAACAUGUUCCAGUUGUUUCUACCAAUACUCUCACUCCUCGAGUAUUAGGAUGCGUUGCUUAUGUUCAUAUUCACAAGAUUCAUCGUAGUAAAUUGGAUCCUUGUGCUCUUCGGUGUGUCUUUGUGGGUUUUGCAUCCCACCAGAAAGGUUACAAGUGUUACCAUCCUACAACUCGCCACAUGUAUAUAACCAUGGAUGUGACUUUCUCUGAGUCAGAAUAUUUUUAUACUCCCGUAUCACCACCCUUCGAUCACAAAGGGGAGAGUUAUAGUUGUGAUCUUGAUAGUGUUUUUGAAUGGUUGGAUGUACAAGAGGUAACGUUUUCAGGGGGAGUGCAUGGUGCCGUGCCAAGUGAUAUAGUUGAUGCUCGGUCUCCUUCUGUUUUAAGAGCCUGUUGUGAGUGGUCAGCAUCUUUUCACCGAAGAAUAGGCUGCCCAUCAAGUGUGUUGGUGUUGCCAAAGAGGUUUGUACUGAUGGUCAGCCAGCUGUUGUCGAAGCAGCUUCUUCUCCUUUCUCUAGCUCAACAGUGCUGUUGUCCAAUACAUCUUCUCUGGAUAUCCCUGAGGUAAGCACUAGUGAUACUCAUGUAACUAAUGAUGUUAUAAGUACAUAUAAAUUGCCACCAAGGUAAAAUCGUGGUGUACCUUAUGACAGGUUCUCUCCGGAGGGAAAAGUGAAGUAUCUCAUAACCAAUUAUGUGUCCUGUAAAAACCUUUCAUCUAAACACCAAGCUUGGGUGAAUAAUGUGGAUUCAAUUCAAGUACUAACUCGAGUAGAAGACGUUUUGAAGAGUCGAGAAUGGACCGAAGCAAUGGAUGAAGAAAUGAGGGCAUUGCAGAAAAAUAAUACAUGGGAAGUAGUUGAGCUGCCAAAAGGAAAAAAGCCAGUUGGGUGCCAAUGGGUUUUUACAGUUAAAUACAAGGCUGAUGGAUCACUCGACAGGUAUAAAGCCAGGUUGGUGGCGAAAGGGUAUACUCAAACAUACAGAGUUGAUUAUCAGGAAACUUUCUCUCCCGUGGCUAAGAUGAAUACGGUACGAGUCCUUAUCUCACUAGCUACAAAUUUGAAUUGGCCACUGAAACAGUUUGAUGUAAAAAAUGUGUUUCUUCAUGGUUCUUCAUGGACAUCUGGAAGAAGAAGUGUAUAUGGAUUUUCCUCCAAGGUAUAGCAACGGAGGAAAAAUGGGAGUGUGCCGACUGCGGAAGUCCCUUUAUGGGCUUAAACAGUCACCAUGUGCAUGGUUUAGGUGGUUCACUCAGGCCAUGAGAAAGAAUGGGUAUUUUCAGAGUCAUUCUGAUCAUACUUUAUUUGUGAAGCGAAGGAACAGUAAAGUAACAGCCUUGAUUAUUUAUGUAGAUGAUAUGAUAAUAACAGGUGAUGAUUCAGAUGAAAUUAUCAAGCUGGAGAAGAACCUUUCUGCGAAGUUUGAGAUGAAAAAUUUGGGUGACUUAAAGUAUUUCCUUGGUGUUGAAGUUGCUCGUUCGUCUAGAGGUAUUUUCUUGUCUCAAUGAAAAUAUGUUCUAGAUUUAUUGAAGGAAACAGGAAUGCUUGUGUGUAAACCAGUGGAUACUCCUAUUGUGGAGAAACAUUACCUGGGAAUUUAUCUGGAUUAAGAACCGGUGGAUAAAGGCAGAUAUCAGAGACUGGUAGGAAGACUAAUUUAUUUAGCUCAUACUCGUCCGAAUAUAGCCUAUGCAGUAAGUGUGGUGAGUCAGUUUAUGCACCCGCCGCGCGUGGAUCAUAUGGUAGCUGUUAUGUGAAUUUUGGCUUAUUUGAAGUCGGCUCCAGGAAAAGGAAUUUUGUAUAAAAAUUCAUGUCAUAUAAGGGUUGAGGGAUUUAUUGACGUUGAUUGGGCAGGUGAUGUGACUGAUAGGUGCUCUACUUCUGGAUACUUUACGUUUGUUGGUGGAAAUCUAGUUACUUGGAGAAGUAAAAAGCAAAAUGUGGUGUCAAGGUCUUCAGCUGAGGCCGAAUUCAGAGGUAUGGCACAUGGGAUAUGGAAGUUCUUUGGUUACGUAAGUUACUUGGUGGUCUAGGUUUUAAAGCAAAUGAGGCAAUAAGCUUGUAUUGUGAUAAUAAGUCCACACGGGAGAUUGCAGAGAACCCAAUACAACAUGACAGAACAAAGCAUGUGGAGGUUGACCGUCACUUUAUUAAGGAAAAGCUUGAGAAGAAAAUUGUGUUAAUACCGUUUGUGAACUCAAAAGAGCAACUCGCAGAUAUCCUCACUCAUGCCGUGUGUAGUAGGUUGUUUGGUGACUCACUUGUCAAGUUGGGCAUGUGUGAUAUCUAUGGUCCAACUUGAAGGGGAGUGUUGGGGUGAGGGGUUUUGUAAAAAGGGCAUAUAAAUAUAUUGUAAAUAUUAGGAAUCCUUUAGUAGGAAGGAUUUGUGAGUCCUUUAUUGUUACCUUGUAGAACAAGGGUUGUAUCUUGUAUAUAUUUUUCCUUUAUGCAAUACAAUGAAAAUUAAGCUGUGAAAUUCAAGUAUACUUAUGUUCUUGCUUUUCCGUACUUAAUUACUAGGUUUGAUUAAUUAAGUUCCAUGUUAAUUACUUUAGGGAUGGAUUUGGACUGUGGAGACUACUACCCAAACUUCACUCAAAGUUCGGUGUGGCAAGGGAAGGUGAAGGAGGUAGAAAUCGACCGAUCACUCAAGAACCUUUAUGUGGUGCUUAUGAGGCUAGGUUUCUUCGAUGGGAGUCCCACUUUUAAGUCUCUUGGCAAGAAGGAUGUGUGCUCCAAACAACAUAUUGAAUUAGCAACAGAAGCAGCAAGGGAAGGAAUCGUUUUAUUGAAAAAUGUCAAUGAAACUUUGCCGUUGAAAUCGAAGAAAAUAAAAAAACUAGCCAUCGUCGGGCCUCAUGCCAAUGCUACUGCAGCAAUGAUUGGAAACUAUGCAGGUAUUGAAUCUAAAAAUGCUCUUUGAAUUAAGUUCGACAUGUCAAACAUAAUAUACUCAGCAAUUAAACAUACAAUUCCGAUUUUGUGUUCAGGUAUUCCUUGCCAAUUCACUUCACCUCUCGAUGCAUUUUCAUCCUAUGGAGAAGUUAAGUAUGAAAUGGGAUGUGAUGGAGUUGCAUGUGCAAGUGAGAGUCUGAUAUUCCCUGCCAUGAGGGCCGCAAAGCACGCAGAUGCAACCAUAAUUUUUGCUGGGUUGGACUUAUCAGUUGAGGCAGAGAGCUUGGAUAGGGUGGAUCUGCUUCUUCCUGGCUACCAAACCCAGUUUAUCAAUCAAGUUGCUCAAGUCUCCAAGGGUCCAGUGAUUCUUGUAAUCAUGUCAGCUGGUGGUGUUGAUAUCAGUUUUGCCAAACAAAAUGAUAACAUCAAUGCAAUAUUGUGGGCUGGGUACCCGGGGGAGGAAGGAGGUCGUGCCAUUGCAGAUGUUGCUUUCGGACAUUACAAUCCUGGUAAGUACACAUAAAGCUAAAAGAAUCACAUUUUUAGUCCACAUUAGUUGAUGAUAAUGUUGCAUCAUUUAGCAUAGUUUUUUUCCUAAAUGUAUUUCUUAGCUUUUAACUUGAUCACCAAACAUCUAAUGUAUAUGUUUACUAUGUUACAGGAGGAAGAUUGCCUCUUCCAUGGUAUGAAGCUGGUUACGUGGAUAUGCUACCCAUGACAUCCAUGCAAUUGAGACCAAUUGAUAGCCUAGGCUACCCCGGUCGUACAUACAAAUUCUACAAUGGCUCCACAGUUUGCCCAUUUGGAUACGGCCUUAGCUACACCCAGUUCAACUACACUCUGCGAUCUGCAAAGAGAUCUCUGGAUAUAAACUUGAGAAAGUCCCAACACUGCCGCGACAUAGAGUACAAGGAUCAUGAAUACAGGCCACCUUGCCCUGCAGUCCUUAUUGACGACUUGCAACACAACCAUGAAUUUGGGUUCGGGGUUGAAGUUAAAAAUGUGGGUAAGAGGGAUGGAAGUGAAGUCAUCAUCGUUUACUCAAAACCACCAAAUGGCAUCGCCGCUACGCAUGCCAAGCAAGUGAUUGGGUUUAAAAGGGUUUUUGUGAAAGCUGGAAAAAGCGAAACUGUUAACUUCGUGUUCAAUACCUGCAAGAGCUUGGGACUUGUCAACUACAAUGCUUACAAUCUUCUAACAUCAGGCCGACACACAAUUUCGAUUGGCGAUGAUGUCGUCUCCUUCCCUAUUCAAGUCAACAUUAAAGAGUGAAUUUUUAUUGUAAAUGAACUCCCAAUGGGGUAUUAGGCUUAUUGUGAGUAAAUAAUUAUUUAGUAGAAUAAUUAGAAGGCUAGCUGCUGAUGCACCUCCUUUUCCUUUUCAGAUCAGAUCAGCUUGUAAACGGUAGCCAGUUGAUUUCUAAUUUUCAUCUACUUCAUGUCUAAACAAUCUCUCCAAACCCACCUUAGCAGAGCCAAAGAAUUUGGUAAUUUAUAUGGUCUUAUCCAACUGCUAGUUGUUUUACUCCUGUUUCCUGGCAUCGAACGUUUCAUAGUUUUUUUUUCAAUUUCCCAGCUAUUUCCUCGGCAUUCAAAGAUUUUCUUUUGAAAAUUACAUGAUAAAAUUUUGGGCGAGAUUCAGUGAAGAUUCAUAUUAUCCACAACACCACUAACUGAAGUUAACAGAACUCACCUUAUAAGAUCUCUUGCGAUUACGAAAAACAGAAAUAUACCAUUAAGAUAAGAUGUCAGUAAUUUGUGGAUAAUGUGUUAUAACAUACAAUUAACUAAUUUCUUGAGUUUUAAAUGAUAAACAUAUGAUUUUAGUUAAUUAACUAAUUUAUGAGAGGCGUAACUAUUUGUGCGUACCUAGAGGACACUAUGCCGCUUGGGGCGAGGAUAUGGUGUUGGAAGAUAGGCCGGAAGAAAUAAUCCCUAGCUAUGGGCUGAGGGACACAGAGCAGGCAUUGGGCCGGGAGUUGGUAAUCUCUGGCUACGGGUGCAGAAACCACGGAGCAGGCAUUGGGCCGGGAAUUAUAUUUAUUCAGUGAUCUUUCUAGCAGUACACCGCGCUUACGAGACGAUCUAUGAUACGUUUACUAUUUUGAUUUCCGCAAUGUUGUUCCACGAUAUGACUUUUGAGAUAUUUUGGCAUGCUAGGAUUUUUAUUAAAUCCAUCACUUAUUAUGCUAGUAGUUUUCAUUAUAUAAACUGAAACACCCCAACCCCAUUUUAUUUAAAAAUUGUUUUAAGAUCUUAAUUGGUGAGCCCGUAGGGCCCACCUUAUAAUUUUUUUUGUUUUUCCCCCGGUCUCUCUCUUCCUUUUUCGUCUCUCUCCCCCUAACUCUCCCUUAGCUCUCUCCCUCUCAGCUAUCCCGUACCUCUCUCCCUCAACCUCUCGCAUCUCUCUCUUCCCCUGGACUCACUAGGACCGAGUCACCAUCGAAGAGAGGCUCGCAACGAACCCCGGACCCUGCCCUGCGAGUUCGACGGCACGGAGUAAGCUCCGGCGACUUUCGAGAUAAUUUCCGGCCAAACCACUGCGAGUUAGCCGGCGUGUAAGGUAUCAAUCUCUUCGUCUCGUCGAGUACUACAACUUUCCUUUUUGUUUCACUCAAUUUCAUUGAGUAUUGAAGAAGUUAUACUCAUUUGAAUCUUACCCAGUUUCCGGCGAGUCCGACGGAUUUCGAAGCAUUUUCCGGCCAAACCCAGGCGAAUUAGACGUCGUGUGAGGUACCAUUCUAUUCCUCUCUUCCAGGGCUACAACUUUUGUCUUUGUCUCGCUUGAUUUCGUUGAGUAGUGACAAAGUUAUGGCCGUUUAAAGUUAGGUGGUUUUCCGGCCGAAUUUCCGGCCUUCCCUCUCUCGGUAAAACCAGGCCAUCUGGCCUCUCCCCUUUCCCCCCCCCCUCGGGCCUUAGGCCCAUGAUGUCUUAAGCCCAGUACCCUAACCCAUUCAGUUUUUAUUUUUAGUUAUAUGUUUUUAAAACCCAAAGGGCUCGGGCCCUAGUUUUGGUUGGCCUUGGGCCGGUUUUCAACCAAGGGCUUAAAGCCCUGAUUUCUGUUAGGAGGCCUUAGGGCCUUGUGUAGUGUGUGUGUGUGUGUGUGUGUGUUUAUAGUAUAUGUAUGUGUUUGGGCUUAAACCCAAACCCCUUUCCUAACCCUAAACCAUUUUAACCCAAAACCUUAGAAAUCCUAAAACCCAUUAAAACCCUAAACCCAUCCAAUCCCAAAUCCCCUAUUUUAAUUUAAUUCAAACCAAAUCUUUUAGAAAAUCCUUUUAUUUAUUAAUUAUACAUUCUUGUUCUUAGGUAAAAUUGCUAGUAGAGAAAUUCUAAAUCCUUAUUCGCGCGACUCUUCUGCUAAGGAAUAUUUGUGAGUGGACCCCUUCUAAAAUUACAUGAUUUGAUAAUUUAAUUGCAUAAAUGAUUAGCAUGCCUACGGAUUUAUGAUUUGAUUUAUGUGAAGCCUGAUGAUUUAAUAUAUUGAUUAUCGUCUCGUGUUUUUGGUGAGGAAUUAAUUGUUGGCCUAUAUUGAGCUAUAUUUUAAUAUAUCGUAUUUUCUAUAAAAACCAUGAACUGAUAGACUAUCUGAUAAAUGACGAUAGGAUGCUAGAACAUGUUUUUGAACCCCUUUUUAUAGUGUAGACGAUGAUCGGUAACCUAUGCUAUGAAGUGGUUAUUUACGAGAGGCGUAACAUUUUGUGCGUACCUAGUGGACACUAUGCCGCCUGGGGCGAGGAUCUGGUAUUGGCAUUUAGGCCGGGAGAAAUAAUCCCUAGCUACGGGCUGAGGGACAUGAAGAGGCAUUGGGCCGGGUGGUAGUUAUCUCUGGCUACGGGCGCAAAGACUUAGGUGCAGGCAUUGGGCCGGGAGUUAUAUUUAUUCGGUGAUCUUACUAGCAGCACACCGUGUUUACGAGACGAUUUAUGAGACGUUUACUGUUUUGAUUUCUGCGAUGAGAUUCCGCAAUAUGGCUUUUGAGAUAUUUUUGGCAUGCUAGGCUUUUUAUUAAAUCCAUCACUUAUUAUGUUAAUAGUUUUCAUUUAUAUAAACUGUGGGGGUUAGUAUCUUGAUAACUGUUUUAUUAUUAUCGUAUAUAUAUAUAAACUUGGUCCACUCACCUUGUUUUGCGCCCCCAUUCAGGACUUAGAAUCAAGGCACCUAAUCCCGGCGUCAAGGAACUUCCGCAGCAGCAUCUUCGAGUCCUUUCGGGGUAGGACCCACUCCUUUAUUCAUUAAAUUUUAACUUAAUUCUUUUUUAGUGAUUAGGUUUAGUUGUAUGCUCUGAGCACGUUCCUAAACUGUUAACUCAUUGUAUUUCAAAUUUUUAACCCUUAUCUAUUUCUUAUUCUUAGCUUUUGUAUCAAUUAAUGGCUUUCGUCACCCCCGGGUGUAGGCCAGCACGUGUCGAUCCUGGUAUUCGGGGAAUAUCAGGGUCGGGGCGUGUCAUAAACUGUGGGGGUUAGUACAUCGAUAACUGUUUUAUUAUUAUUGUAUAUAUGAACUUGGUCCACUCACCUUUGUUUUGCGCCCCCAUUCAGGUCAUAGCAACGAGGACUACGAGACGACAUACGAGGCAUUCCCCUACCAGUAGUCGGGGCGUGUCACUUACUAAAGGCUUAAUGGUGGUAGCAAGAGCACGACAUUGUUGUACGUUGUACCGGUCAAAUGCCAAGGUUUUGAAAGGUGAGUUGAAUGCUGUGGAGGACUCAUCUCUAGACUUGUGGCAUAAGAGGCUAGGCCACAUGAGCGAGAAAGGCCUACAAGUUUUGGCAAAGAAGUCUCACAUUCCCUUUGCCAAAGGUACGUCCUUAAACUCUUGUGAGCACUGUUUAUUCGGAAAACAAAGAAGAAUUAGUUUUUCUAUUCCAUCUACAAAGAAAGGAAAUUUGUUAGAUCUUGUUUAUUCAGAUGUGUGUGGUCCCAUGGAAGUCGAGUCACUUGGAAAAAAUAAAUAUUUUGUUACUUAUAUUGAUGAUGCUUCACGAAGGGUCUGGGUUUUGUUGAAAUCCAAAGACCAGGUGUUUCAGACAUUCUAGGAGUUCCAUGCUAUGGUGGAGAAGGAAAUUGGGAAACCUUUCAAGUGCCUUCGUAGCGACAACGGCGGCGAGUACAUAUCUCAUCAGUUUAAAGAGUAUUGUGUGAAACAUGGCAUACGUCAUGAGAAGACAGUUCCUGGAACUCCACAACAUAACAGUGUUGCUGAAAGAAUGAACCGAACCAUCAAGGAGAAAGUCAGGUGUAUGCUGAGGACUGCAAAGUUAUCUAAGCAGUUCUGAGGUGAAGCUGUAAGGACAGCCUGCUAUUUGAUCAACUGAUCUCCAUCAGUACCAUUAGGUCUUGAUGUUCCAGAGAGAGUAUGGACUGGUAAUGAUGUGUCUUACUCUCAUCUGAAGGUGUUUGGUUGCAAAGCUUUUGUGCAUGUGCCUAAAGAGCAGAGAUCGAAGUUAGCCUACAAAGCUACACUAUGCAUCUUUCUUGGUUAUGGCGGUGAAGAUUUUGGUUACAGAUUAUGGGACCCAUACCAGAAGAAGUUUAUCCGAAGUAGAAACGUGGUCUUUUAUGAAGAUCAACAAUUGGGGAAUGAUAAAGAGGCACAACCAGAUGGCGUAGUCAGAGGAGUUGAUCCAUUAGCUUCAGAUGAAGAAAGUCACGAUGACAUCCUGAAGCAGCUGCCAAUGAAGUGCCUGCAGAACCAGAUAAUGCUGAUCAGGGGGAGCCUGAUCAAGAUGUGCCAGAUCAUGAGAUUGCUGAUCAGGGGGAGCCUAGUCAAGAAGAGCAGAUUCAAGGAGAACCCAAUCAGGGGGAGCCUCCAGCCCCGCAAGAGAAUGAAAUCAGGUCAGAAGAUCCAACAGAAGUCGAAGACCGUCUACCAAGUAUUCUUCAUUAGAGUAUAUCAUGUUGACUACUUAUGGAGAGCCCAAAACUUAUGAGGAGGCCAGAGUUCAUAACGACAAUGAUAAAUGGAUGAAGGCAAUGGAGUCAGAGAUGAAUUCCUUAUUAAAGAAUGAUACUUAUGAGCUGGUGGAACUUCCAAAGGGCAGAAAAGCAUUGAAAAACAAGUGGGUGUUCAAAUUGAAAAUGGACGACAACAUGACAAGGUACAAGGCUCGUUUGGUGGUCAAAGGUUUUGGUUAAAAGAAAGAAGUUGACUUUGAUGAGAUUUUCUCACCGGUGGUGAAGAUGACUUCCAUUUGAGUUAUCUUUGGUAUGGCAGCAAGCAUGGAUCUUAAGCUCAAGCAAUUAGACGUUAAAACUGCAUUUCUCCACGGCAACUUAGAAGAGGAGAUAUAUAUGGAGCAACCCAAAGGCUUUGAAGUCAAAGGUAAAAAAACUUUGGUGUGCAAGCUCAAGAAAAGCUUAUAUGGUCUUAAGCAGGCUCCGAGACAGUGGAAUAAGAAGUUCAACUAAUUCAUGGUGAGUAAUGGGUACAAGAGAACUCAUGCUGACUCUUGUGUCUAUAUCAAACAAUUUUUUGGAGGUAAAUUCAUCAUUUUAUUGCUUUAUGUUGAUGACAUGUUGAUUGUCGGUCAAGAUGCUUCUAUGAUUAAAAAGCUCAAAGAAGAGUUAUCUAAGUCAUUUGACAUGAAGGACUUAGGGCCAGCCAAGCAGAUUUUAGGCAUGGAGAUAAUUCGUGACAGAAAAUCCAAGAAGUUGUGGUUGUCACAAGAAAAGUAUGUUGAACGGGUGCUUGAAAGGUUCAACAUGAAAGCAGCCAAACCGGUAAGCUCACCUUUAGCCAAUCAUAUCAAGUUGAGCAAAGAGUCGUGUCCAAAAACAUAUGAAGAAAAGGAGAAAAUGGCAGUUGUUCCCUACUCUUCAGCGGUGGGAAGUAUCAUGUAUGCAAUGGUGUGCACACGGCCAGAUAUUGCUCAUGCAGUAGGUGUGGUGAGCAGGUUUCUCUCUAAUCCAGGGAAGGACCACUGGGAAGCUGUUAAGUGGAUUCUUAGAUAUUUGAAGGGGACUUCUAAGAUGUGCUUCUGCUUUGGCUGUUCCAAACCAAUCUUAGAAGGAUUUACAGAUGCUGACAUGGGAGGUGACCUGGAUGGUAUAAAAUCUACGUCUGGGUACUUGUUUACUUUUGCAGGGGGAGCCGUGUCUUGGCAAUCCAAGUUGCAAAAAUAUGUUGCCUUGUCCACAACUGAGGCUGAAUACAUAGCCGCUACAGAAGCAUGCAAGGAGUUGUUGUGGCUAAAGAGGUUUCUCCAAGAGUUGGGUUUGAAGUAGAGUGAUUAUGGCGUUUAUUGUGAUAGUUGGAGUGCUCUGGAUUUGAGCAAGAAUACUACAUAUCAUUCACGCACUAAGCACAUUGAUAUUCGUUAUCACUGUAUUAGAGAUGCUAUCGAGAACAAGUUGUUACAACUGAAGAAGAUUCAUACCGAUAAUAAUUCUUCAGACAUGUUGACAAAGGUAGUCACAAAAUCAAAGUUGGAAUUCUGCAUUAAGGCUGCUGGGAUGGACUCCAGGUAACUUGGAGUCAUGAUCGGAAUUCCUCCCUCAUGGACUGGAGGGGGAGAUUGUUGGUAUAUGGUCCAGCCAAUGAUCAAUGUUCUAGAUUAUUCUAGUAAGCAAGUGAGGUGGCUGGAGCAUGCUAGACAAUUCUAGCAUGUUAUUAAGUUGAUGGAAGAAGCUAGAGAGUACUAGCUUCCUUGGUUGCAAAUGGAAAGAUCUAGAAGCUACAAUUUUGUGGCCAGUCUAGAAUUAUCUAUGCUAGAGGUUUGAAGAAUACACUAGAAACUAGUAGAAUGCCAAACCCUCACCUAUAAAUAUGGGUGUGAUGUUAUAGUGAAGUAACCAAUUAAGAACCAAGUGUGAGUAGCAAAGGAUCAAGUCCAAAGCUAGAGCUCCACUCCAAGAGUGAGAGUGAGAGUGUUCCACUACACAUUGUGAGCGAAAUUUAGAGUGAUAGAAAGUGUGUGUCAUACUUUCUUGUAUCCAUCAAACCUUGUCUUUGGCUUGGUAAGACUACUCUUGUUGUACUCAUCUUUUUCAUAUAGUGAAGAUUGAUCCUUGUUUCGUGGUCGUAGGCAUAAUUGCCGAACCAUGUAAAUUCUUGGUGUCCAUUUUCUACUUUACCUUGAGCAUUCUCUAUCUUGUAGUACCGACAUUCCUAACAAAUGAAACCUUGCGUAGAACUCUGCUAAGUUCAAAACCCUGGCCGUCGUCGGGCCUCAUGCCAAUGCUACUACCAAGGUCAUGAUCGGAAAAUAUGCUGGUAUUGAAAAUACAAAAAAUGUUUCCAAACUCUUACGUGAACAAAUGUGUUACAUGUAACAUGAUUACUUACUACAUUGUGUACGUGUUCCUUGCAGUACACUUCACCUCGUGAUGCUUUCAAAUCCUAUGGAAAAGUGAGGUAUGAAGUGGGAUGUGAUGUUGCAUGUCUAAAUGAGAGCUUGAUAUAUAUUCACUGCCAUGGCAGCCGCCAAGGCAGUUCAUGCAACCAUAGUUAUGGUGGGAUUGGACUCAUCGGUUGAAGCGGAGGGCUUGGACAGAGUUGACCUCCUUCUUCCUGGUUACCAAACUCAAUUAUCAACCAAGUUCUUCGCCAAACAAAAUGAUAAUCAUAAGUACAAGAACUGUUAAUAGAACUGCAUUUUUAGACCACAUGAUGCGACAAUUAGUAUGUUAGCCAAUAUUUAAUUAUAAUAAAGAUAAUAGAUGUAAUAAGUACAUAUCAAUUGCUUCGUCAAGUGAUCACCUAACGUCCUAACAAUAUAAGUUGACUAUGUUACAGGAGGAAGAUUACCUCUUACAUGGUAUGAAGCUGGUUACGUCAAAAUGCUACUCGAUACCCUAGGCUAUCCUGGUCGUACAUACAAACUCUUAAAUGGCUCUACCGUUUAUCCAUUUGGCUAUGGCCUUAGCUACACUCAAUUCAACUACACCCUAAUAGCUGCAGUUGAAUCGAUGAAUAUUUUGUUGAACAAGACGCAACACUGCCACAAAUUUUAGUACGGCGAUGAAACAUACAAGCCAUCCUGCCCAGCAGUCCUUUUAGAUGACUUGUAACACGAUCUUUCGGUCAAGGUUGAAGUGAAACAUGUAGGCAAAAGGGAUCGGAGUGAGGUUGUUUUUGUUUACUCAAAGCCCCCAGACGGAAUUGUAGGCACUCAUGCUAAGCAGGUGAUUGGGUUUGAGAGGGUGUUUGCGAAAAGUGGACAAAAAACGGAGGUUAAUGGGUGAAAUAUAAUUUUUAUUUUAUUUUUGUAAUAUUACUUUGAUUUGCAGAUAUGUCAUUGCAGCAAUACUAGUUAUAUUUUCAAUUUAAACAACAUCCUAUAUAUUUUCAUAUUGCAUGUUGUGUGGGUAACCUCAAACAGAUAUGUCAAACAUUUUUUUUUCUAAUUUGUUGUAGUGUAUCCAUUUUUUGGUGCAGAGCUCCACGAUUGGCUAGCGUGAAUCUUGGUAUCUUCAUAUGCAUGCAAUGUUCAGGGAUCCAUAGGAGUCUUGGGGCACAUAUACCAAAGGUAUAAUUUUCGGUUAUGCAAAAACUUCAAAUUCGUUUUAUUAUUUGUAUGGUACUCAAUUCCAUAUUUUAUGCUUUACGCUAAUGAGUUUCGAUUCUAUUUUUAUCUGCAUUAUUAUGAUGAUUUGGAUGCUUUUGUAGGUGAGAUCUGCCACUUUGGAUACAUGGCUCCCAGAUAGGGAUGGGCAAAAUACUUAUGGGUUUGGGUAACUGCGGUUAUCCGCCCAUAUAAAGUUCACGAUUAGGGUUAUGGGUAACCGUUUAAACGAACAAACGGUUAUGAAUAUAGCCAUUUAUAAGUGAAAUUUAAAUGGACGGUUAUGGGUAUUACCCGGGGUUAUAAUGGGUAUCCAACGGUUAUGGGUAUUACUUGCGGUUAUAACGUGUGUCCAUUUACCCAUUUAAUUCAAUAUAUGUAAAAUUAAAAAAAAAAAAAAAAGCUCAGCAGACCUAACAAGUUUUGGCCCUGCUCUAAUUCUAUCAAUUUAACCGCGGUUAUAAAUUGAAUCCAAACUGACUUUGGAUUGGUGCUCCCCUACGCGCCUCCAAAUCAGCCCCAUUGCCCGAUUGGAUUUUCCGGUACGAAUCACUGCAUCAAUUACCCUUUAUCUCCAUCAAGAUUUCAUCUUUCUUCUACCCUUCACGCCAUUCUUCCAUGCCUUGUUGUUUUUUCGACUUUUAGUUCCUAAAUGGGAUACUAAUUCAAUUUAUAUUUUUUUUUGUUGGCCUCUUUUGAUGGCAACGAGUCGAUGAGAUUUUGUGAUUGAACGUGCUGAAGUAUUAGUGUUCGAAAGUGUUUAGUUUCAGAAUACUUUGGAGAUUUGAAUCAUCUAGUAUUCAAGAUAAUGACUACUUUUUGUUUUUAGAAGCUUUACUUUGUAAUCAUAUGGAUUAUAAUUAAAGUUGGGUGUAAUAGAAAAAUAUUGUUUGUAAACUAUUAUUUUAAUUAUUGGAAUUGUAUGAGGACUUAAAUGAUUAAAAUAGGAAAAUGCAUUCUAAAAUUUACCUAUAACGAUGUUUAAUUAUCAGAAAACGAAAAUUACGACAAAUUUUUCUUUUGUAAUUUUCAAAUUGUUAAAAAAACAUGUAGACGGGUGAAAAAUGAAUAAAUGGGUAAAAAAAGGAUAAAUGGGUAAACGGGUAUGGUUAUGGUUAAAUGGGUACACGGUUAUGGGUAUGGUUAACCGUUUAUAAACGGUUAUGGAUUUGGGUAUAACCGUUUAUGCAAUUACCCAACGGGUAAACGGUUAUGCGGGUAUGAACAUAAACGGUUAUGGGUAAAUUACCGCGGUUACGCGUCCGCCAUAACCAUUGCCCAUCCCUACUCCCAGAGUAGGUUGCAUAUAUCCAAUGUAAGUACCAAUGCUGUUAUACCAGCUUCUUUCCAUUAUGGUAGUAAGGUUAUAUCUCUGUCAAGCAAGGUCGCAUUGAGAGAGAGAACACCAAGGGCACUCUCUCUUACCCUCACUGACCCACAUUAAAAAAGAGGCACAUUAUGUUUGCACCCUAUUUUCGCAUACUUUCAUCUUGUUGUAAAUUUCGAUGUUCUCUCUUUGUUGGUCCAUUUGCUUAUCCUUUUCAAAUGUUGGUUCAUCUUAUGCAAAUAUUGAUAUGCUUAACAGCCUGCUGCCUAUGUGCAAUGGAGCACCACAAAUUUCUCUGCAUUAUGGUUGUUAGGACAAUUGAUUAGGUUGCAGGAUGAAUUUGUCUUUGAUGAAGGCACUCCACCCUAUACAUAUUCCUUUGCAAGAUGGAUGAUGAUCUCAUCUUUCAAUCUUUCUGGUUUCCCUAUUUAUAAUUUAAUUUCUCAAUUUUAAUUCGCUAGAUGUGGAUGAUGUUUAUUAAUUAUUUGUUCUUACCUUUCACUUCAGCAGAAACCCCCAAUUCAUUUUAUAGUUCUUUCAAUUAAUUUGGAAGUUCAAGUUCUCUCUUUGAUUUUUUUUCUUUCAAUUAAUUUAAUUCAUGAUUUAUCGUUGUUGUUGUUUGUUUGUUUGUUUGUUUUUUUUUUUUUUUUUUUUUUUUUUUUUUUUUUUUUGUGAUAGGUUAACUGUCUGUUGGCUAAAACCACUUAGUGACCUCUUGAUCAACCUGUACAGAUUGCUCUCUGGGCACCAAGCAUUAUGUUUGAAUCGAGAGGCAUAGGUGGGAGAGAAAACAGAGAGAACCCAUAAAGAAAGGGCAAAAGAGACAGCUUCCUCCAUGCAGAUUAGGAUAAGACUAAGAGACAUGCAACGAUUAUACUGAUCGUUUCAAAUGGUACAUGAAUUUCCAACUUCGCCCUUUUUAGCAUGUUGCUACAGUAGUUUAAUUAAUAUUUGUCCCCAAAUUUUAAUUCCUACGUUCUCAUUCUAUCUAAAGAUUGUUGUAUGAUUUUAUUUUGAACUUCUUCGUUUUUAUUUAUUCUCCUCCGUUUGAACGCUCUUCUUUCUUUAUUCUUCCUAUUUCUUCACUUUAAUUUGUAAUAUAUUUUUUUUUGUUUUGAACUUAAGAAUUUUGUUUUAUGUGAUUGAAUCAAGAAACUCCACAUGGUUGCAGAAAAAAGAAUUAUUUUGUUUGUUGUAAGUUCAUAAAAAAACUUCAAACUCUGUUUUCCUUUUUUUGGGUUUUAUUAGUUUAUAUAAAUUUUAAUAUAUUUUGUAAAUGAGUAAUGAGCCAAAAAAAAUUUAAAAAACAUUACCAGAUUAAUGCUGGGUUUUAUGUUCUAAUUGAUGGGUUUUGGUCAAAAGGGGUUCAGAUAUUUAGGUUUGAUAGCUCUGUUUUAUUUGCUUUUAGGGCUUUGGAGAGUUUGAAUUUGGGGCAAUGGGGUUCAAGGUUUGUAUGAAUCAUUCAUGCAGAACAGCCAAUACACACGAAUGAAGGAAAGGUUGAUCUUUGUAGUUCGGUGGAUUUGCCAGUCUCUGCUCCAAAGUGCAGGUAAUUUGUUAGCCCUCUUAGAUUUUGCUUACCAAGUUUUAAUUUUUCAACCAUUUUUAAGUUGUGAUUUUUUCAAUGAUGUGUUUUAUGGUGUUUGAGUUUGGAUACUUUGAACCCAGGUGCUUCUAGACAUCUUGAAAAAGCACUAGGAAGGAGGUUGUUAUUAAUGAUUAGACAAACAAUUAUCCACAUUCUCUGAAUAGGAUUUCACCCAAAUAUGAAGUAAACCCAAUACUUAGAAUUGUAUACCUCUCGGACAAUUUAAAAAAGGGGGUUUUAACGAAAAGCCCGUUGUACUGUUCACUUUAACGAAAAACCACAUUUUAACACUAAAAAGUCAAACCUGAUACUAUUCACUUUACCUUUUAUUUUGUCCUUAUCGUUAAAACUCAAAGUUUUCAAGCCUUUUUCAUUAGUUUUCUUUUGAGAAAAAUUGAUAUCACCUUUGCAUUUGUAUGUUAUCACUGUAAAGAUUAUUCUUUCGAUCAGUUAGAUGUCACGGUUUUUAUAAUCAAUGCUUUGGUUAGCUAUAAAUCCAAACAUCAUUUUCAUAAAAUUUGUUUCUGCCAACAUAUUAAUUUUGCUCAAUGAUAAUGCCAUAAUUGGAAUAUUUUUUAUAGAAAUGAUGCAAUGGGUUAAUAUGAAAUUCCGAACUUUAGGUGAUGAUUGAACUCAUACAUGACUGCUACUGCACAUGCUCCUCUUUUUUGGUUGUUGGGUUUUAUUUUUAUUUCAUUUUUUGGUAAAUACAAUUGUUUUUGCAAAGAACUGACUUUUCUCUUAUUUAUAGUUCUCUAUGCAUGUAGUUUCACCUUUUUUGAUCUCGAGUAUCCGGUUGGCUUUAUUUAUCAGGCACAGAGUUGUGAUUCUGGAUGCUGACAUGAUUAACCACAGGUUGGUGUUCCUUGAGAACUUGGUGCGAAGAAGUGCAAGCAUGUUACAGCGUAUUAUAGGAAUAUUACUACUACUUUUUUUCCCCUUUCUGUAAAUGAUACUAGAUUUUAACCGAGACCAGAUUGUAUCACACAAAAGCAUUGUUUUGCAAUCAUAUUUUGUAUUUUGAUUUUCCGGUCAAGGAAUUUAUAUUCAGGUUCAUAUAACUGCUUUCUAGAAGUGCUUCUAUGUUUUUUUAGGAAGCAUUUGGAAUUGGAUAGGAACUUCAAACAUGUUUCAAAUAAAUGCACUUCUAGCAGAAGCGCUUAAAAGCAGAAGUGCUUCAUAUAGAAGGGGUUCCAAACUAAAAAGCCCUUUGUUUCAUUGCAAGUUGAAGAAUUGGUUUUGGAUUUCAGGUCAAGGUUUCUAAGUACAUUGGGAAGAAGUAUGUGAUUCUCUUUUUUAACCCAUUGCACUUCACAUUUGUUUGUCCUGCAGUUAAGUACGUUUUCACAAUCAACAUUUCUGCAUACAAAAUUUUAAUCUUUAUUAGAUGCUUAUCUAUCUUAAUUUGAUUGAUUUGCUAAAAUUUGUGCCCCCACCUUGCAGAAAUCACCGCUUUCAGCAACCACCAUGCUAAGUUUGCGGAGUUCAACAUAGAAAUCUUGCAUUUUUCAAUUGACACUGGGGUAUGUUGCCCUGCUCCCCACUAUCUUCAGUACCACAUAAAAGGGUUGCAAUUUUGCGUCCAUGGAGUUAUUUGUUUUGAAAUGCCGAAUUGAAUGAAUUUUGUGUUAUAUAUCUCUAGACAAUUUUUCAGGAAAUCUCGUCCCGGUUCUCCCUAUUCGAAGAAAAUUAUUCAACAGGCUUUGAUUUCAAGGUACCGUAAGGUUUUCAUUCCCGCUGCAUCGCGCGGGGCAUUUCUCGCUAGUAUCACUCUAUUUUUGUAAAUAAAAAUACUGUAACAAAGUAACUUUUAGACAAUUAAGCUAACAGGGAACAGAUAUGCAUAAAUAAAUAUUAGUCUAAGCAGUCAAGAGUAAGCAGGAUAUGACAUGGUUUGCAAUAUAUGACCAGAGGAAAACAAAUGCAGGAAAGAACACAAUUGAGUUUCAUUGUCCUUUCUUUCUACUUUUAGUAGUUUGACUUCUAGCACUCGCGUUCAUCUCCUUAGUUAUUUGUUGGUUUAGGUACACACUGUGUAUUACAUGAUAUGUACUUGCUCCUCUGUUUUGCUUUAUCUAUUCAAAGGCAUAUUCCAUCAAGCCGCCGUUGCAGCUGUGGUUCUGAAUUUAAUCUAAGCAAGCAAGCAGGGUAGGCAAAUUCAUUGUUGAAGCCAAAUUUCCAGGACACAGUAAACUUAUGAUCAAUCAGUCUCACCUGAAUGCAAUUCUUCUUUUGUUUUCAUUGAGCAUAUUUUAAGCAAGUACAAUAGACAGACAUUUUUUCACAGCCUAUGGGUUUUCUUGGUAUACUUAUAGCCUAUAGGCAAAGUGAAAAAGCUCACCUCAGCCCUUGAUUAAUACAUUACAUAAUUGGAUAGGAAGCUUGCAUAGCGAGGCCACAAACACCUUCUGGGGCAUCGGCGUUUCUAAGAAUCUUCAUGUAACCAUUAUCACCCCACCUUUCGGCCCAUGAGUUCUUGAUUAACCAAUAGGGGGUGCCAUCUUCAGUUGUCCCAUACCCAAUGAUGGUAACAGCGUGGUUCAAUUCUGUCCCACAACUAUCAUCAGUGAACAGGCCCCCGGAAUAGAGCCGAAAGGCUUGUGAGGCAGCGAUGGCAACGGAGACUGGUUGCAUGGAUACAGCCUUGAGCAAAUCGGUUUCACUGUUGGGAGUUACCCUUGCAUAAUUAGUUAUCUUGGCAGCAGCCUCAUUUCCCAGGUUCGUAUCACAUGUUCCAUCCGAACCCUGGUAUGGGUAAUUUUCUUCACUGGCAAUUCCUCCGUUCUGUUGAAUGUAUGCAAAGGCUUUAGCCAUGUCACCACCUUGGCAGCCAAAGUUACUUGUAUCACAGUCCACAAGUUGUUGCUCAGACAGUGAGAUCAAUUGGCCAGUUUUGAUUUUGGUAAUCCCUUCGACUGCUGCCACUGCAGAAAAUGCCCAGCAACAACCUGCAUGUACUCAAACAAACAGAUACGAAUUAAUUUCCGUAGGAAAGAAUGCAUGAAGAAAGUAAUUAAAAAUAUAUAUGUACGAGUAAGCUUUGCCCAAUAUUAAUAUGGUGGUUGGUGCUCUUACCACAGUUCCCUUGAUCUUUUACAGGAGUAACAGCAUCUUGCUCCCUCCAGUCAAUGCUUGGGGGAACAUCCGUCAGGCUUAGGUUUUUGUGCGUAAAAGAUGCAUCUGCGGAUGAGGUUGAUUCAGUGGGCUUCUUGUAUCCAGUAUGAUGUCUGAGAAUUCUUCAUGGGUCAUAUCAGAAAAUUGAUUGAUGCUUAGCUUGUAUGUCUUCUUCCCUUCACUGUUGAAUUUCUCCACGAAUUCCACAUUGUUCUUGAAUAUGUGGAAACGCCUUUCCUUCUCUGCGCUGUCCUGGUAAACGCGCCCAAACUCUUCCAUCCAUUGCUCAUGUUUUGCAGCAAUGGAAUCUUCGUACAAUGUGCGGGACGUGGCUUGAGAUGCCAAGGUCCCCAAGGUGAUGAGUAUGGCAACAAUUAAAAUGUUUCUUUCAAAAGCCAUUGCUCACAAAGCACCACUGAUGAUGAGAGGGACGCUCUGUAUCGACAAUGGCUUUGAUUUAAAGUUGUGAUUGGUGUGAAGAAGCAAGCAUGUUAUCGCGGGUUUAUAUAGAAGACGAUCAGAACCUCCUGUAUGUGCACUUUGAUGGAACUCUUAGGAUGGGAAUUUCGUAGGAGUCUUUUCCCAUUUGCUGGAGUCUUUUCCCAUUGGGUUUUAGUCGCCAUGAAAUUUCCAAGCACAUUUCACAGUUGACGACCGCAUAAAUUUUUUUAUCAAUCAGUCUGGCCCGAAUGCGAUUCUUGCUUUUGUUUUCUCCGGGGAUUUCACACAAAGAAGUUCGAAUGACUCAGUCAACCGAUGAAUCAAGGGUUGUCUAUUGACCUGAUGACUACAGUUCCUUUUCUAUUUGCCGGAGUCUCUGCCUUUUGGCUUUUAGUUGCCGUGAAUGGUGCUGAUGACUGCAAGUUUUGCAGUCUGCAGUCCUUAACCGUGUACAUACCGCACCGUGUUAAGGACUGCAGUCUUUGAUGCUGAUUUUUGAAGUUCAAGUACUAAAAUUGGUAAGCCAAUGCAGUUGCCCUCCAACUCAGAGUUGCCAAACUAGCUGUCAUAGUGUGUUGUAAUUAAGGUUCCUUUUUCAAAACUAAUUUUCUUGAGGUUCGCAGAUCUUCUAAAUUAUUUUAUGCUAAACUAAUUGAUAAAAAGUGCUGUAGAAUUUUGGUUUCAAUGUGUUUUCUAUUUCAUAAGUAAUUUUGAAUGUACAAUGCAGUACAUAUAGGCGAGAGAAACUGAUGGUUACAAGCAAUCAUCUUUACAUGGAACCCUAGAGAUUGGUUAAACCUAGGACACAUGCUUUUCCUUAAUUUAAGGUGAUUUACGUCAAAUCCAAGACUAAGAAGUAAUCAACAAGUUAAGUGCCUUAAAUCAAGGAGUUGGAAAAUUGGCGGUUGACUUGUGUAUCCAUGAUUACUUGUAGACUUGAAAUGAGACGACAUGCUAGGGUUGCUGUUGCUAGGGUUUAGUGUGAUUGGUUCCAACACUCGCUCUCAAGCUAGAUCGUGAAGUGUAGUGGAGCCAAGCUUGCUCAAAAGCAUGUGUAACUGAGAACAGGGUAAAGCCUUAGUGAAUAAGUCAGCCAAUUGAUCAUGGCUUCGAGUGAAUUGAGUCUGAAUGACUUGUGUUUGAACUUGAGCUCGGAUGAAAUGGCAGUCCACCUCAAUGUGCUUGGUUCUUUCAUGAAAAACAAGAUUAGCUGCAACGUACAUGGCAGCUGGUUAUCACACAUUAGAGACAUGGGGGGUUGAUGUGAGAACCCUAAAUCUGAAACCAACCCUUUAAGCCAAAUCGGUUCGCAUGCAGUGGCUACCAUUUUUCGAUACUCCGCUUCAGCACUAGAUUGUGCUAUAACAAUUUGCUUCUCACUCUUCCAUGUCAUAAGGUUUCCCCCAACGAAAGCGCAAUAUCCAGCGGUAGAUUUUCUAUCAAUUGUACUACCUACCCAGUCUGCAUCUGUGUAAGCAUUGAUUUGUGUGGACUGAUUGUUUGACAUAAGAAUGCCUCUGUCUCUAUAGCCAGAGCACUAUUAGAUGACGCUGGAUUUGCGAAGAAAAAAUGGGAUAGACAGGGCUCACAAGGAAAUUUGAGCUUUCGUCAGAUAAAAUAUCUUUUUUUUUUAAUUCAUGUUAAUUUACAGUAAUUUAUUUUAUUUAAUUUGGUUUUUAAUUCUUUUCUUGUUGUUUUAUGAUUAUGGGGUUUUGUUUUCGGACUCGAACUCUAUUGUCUUCCGAAGUCCUCUGUAAUCAAGGUAAGCAAUUUGAAAAUUUUGGUGGAUUGAAAUCAAAGUUUCAAUUUACACAUUUGUUUAGAUUUGAUUUUAUUGAAGCAAAUUUAUGCAUAUUUUCCAUCAGUUUUUUCUUCUGUUACUUUGGAUAGGUCCUGUUGUCCAGAUUUUGAGCAUCUUCUUUUGGGAGUGAUUAAUAGCUACCAUGACAGGUUAGUUUUUAUACUCUUUCUAAAAAAAAAUUUAUGCAUAAUAUUUAAAUGUUGUGGCAUUUUAAAAUUCUUGCUUCUGUGGUUGUGAUAUGAUAUUAUAUAUUUGCUUUAUUUAAUUACAAUUUAGGUGUGAUGAAAAAUUUAAAAUUUAAUUUCAUUAUUUUCUUCCCAGCUAUCAAUCUGUAGCUUGGCAUUUACAAUUUUUUUGCACAUGCUGCGAAAAAGAACUAGAAAUAGCAAAAGAAAUCAGGGGAUACAGAAGAUCAUACUUCUGACACUGCAAAUGGAAUAGAAAUGUUUAAUGAAAAUGUUUGCCAUGCUGAUGGUGCACAUGCACAAGGUGAUGACAUACUAAUAGAAUGGUUGUUCUUUUGCUUUGAUGUAGAAGUAAGAAGAUUGUUUUGCCUCUUAUGUAUCCUACUUCUAUCUAUGACAUUUUUAGAGCGUCAAUAGCAUUUCUGUUUUUAUAUUACUUACACAUGCGCACACACAUAUAUAUGCAAGAAUCAAUUUCUACCAUGAGGAAUAAUCUUAAGAUUAUUCCAAAUUAAACUUGACAACGAUGCAGGUUGAAAAAAGACUUUACGUAAAAGCCUUGAGGUUAGUUCAAAUAGUGAAAAAGCAGAGAAAUAAGUUACGAUUAAGGUAGGUUAAAAGAAAUUGGUUUCUUUUAGUAUAACCAAAGAAAAAACUUUACGGUACAACUAAGAAGUAAAUAGUUCCCAUGAUUACAACCAACUGAGAAUGGAUUCUAUCCAAACGUAAGAUCCAAGGAAACAUGAACACAAAAUUAAGUAAAUUUCUUAUUCUUUGUUUCCAAAAUUUGCACAAGGAAAUAAAGUAGAUAUAUGGGUGGGCAAAAAGCCAUCAGCAAACAAAGAGAACUGGGAGGGAUGAUGGAUAGGUUAGUCCCAACUUGACCAAAAUUGAUCGCAAAGAGGGGGGUCAAAAAGGCACAAAAACUACCAAGCAAGAAAUAUUGGGGUAAGUGGGGAAAAGAGGUUUUCAGUGGUGCGCCACUAUCCUCACAUCUUAUUGGAACCUAAGAAAUAUGUACAGGGAUGGGACUUGGGAGGAGGCAAUACUUCCAUCCAUCCAUGUCCCCACUAUUUCCAGCACCUCAAAAAGCUAAUAAAAAAAGCAUCCAAAUUAGAGUGUAUAACUAAAUUAAAAAAAAAAAAAAAAAACCAAAAAGAUAGUGACAGAUGAGCAAGUCAUGCUCACAUCAAGCAACCAGUGAUCAUCUGCAGCUUUUACAGAAUCCAGCACCAAAUACAAUUCUGCCACAAACAUGUCUGCUGAUUGGUUGUGAGGGGAGACGCAAGAAUUCACCAUGGAUGCAUGCAUGGCCAUCAUGUUCGCGUUCCUGGAUUUCCAACGGAUGAAUGUGAGAGGUAUGGAAAGGAGAUAAAACAGUGACGUGUCUCUGAAUCAUGCGACAGGAUUAAACGGAUCGUUAUGGUUUCAUUUGGUGCCUGGAACUAGAUUGGCUUGGAUUACUAAAUAUAUUGAAAGUACGUUUUAGGAAGAAAUGCAGAAAUUUAAUACCGCUUGAAAAUAGAAGUUGAAUUAAAGGAACACAUCUUUUCAAUCCCGCAAAUUUCCACGGACCAGAAGGAAUACGUUUGUUUCAUGUCAAAUCCCUUCGAAUCUUCGCUAAAUGCAAAAUCAUUAUGUCAUCGAUAUAACUAAUAUUUUGCGAUAUAUCCAAUUCAAAUCCAUCCCAGGGACCGAACGAGUAUAAACAAUAAUGGAACAUCAAAUAUAACUAACAGAAGCAAAUUGAGUUAUUAACCAACAGAUGCUGCUGGAGUGCAUGGUUACAUAGCAGUCGAUAGCUGCAACUUGCCGUACGAAAUUAAGUGAAAUACAAGAAAAUGAGCAUGCAUACUACAAAUCAUAAUACAAAUAAAAAAGAGGUCUGGAAUACACUUCAGGAGCCGGACGAGAGAGCUCCAAAAACCAGAUUCAGAGUGACAACAGCACAGCCAUUACGUUUAAUGGCCCAAUACGAGUUUCCGUUAUUACCACCAUAGCUCAAGUGCACGUUCAGUCGUUCAAAUUCUCAAUUCCAAUCUUCUGCAGCUCAACCUUGAGAGACUUCAAGUACUGAACAGCUUCGUCCAGAACAGCAACGGUGUUCGUUUCAUUCCCACCAGGUACAAUCCCUCUCAGCGCCCUCACCAUCUUCUUCGUUUUCUGGCGUUUCCUUUCACUGUUGCAGCUGCUGCUGCUACCAACGCCGGAAGACUUUUCAAGUGAAGAACGCAGCCUUUCCUUCUUGGUUUUCAAACCAUAACUGGAGCAAGAAUCAGAGAAUGAGUUCCCAUAAUUUCCAUGAGUUCGUGCUGUACUGACCUCUUCCUCAUCAUAAUCUUCCAGCUCUUCCUCACCAAGCUCAACAAUGCAUCAAUAUCAUCGGAAUCCUCCUUCAGAGUAGACGAUGCUUCUCUAUUGUCAUUAUUUCCCUCGUUCAAUUCCAGAUUGUCUUGGAUGUAAGCUGCACAGAGGUUAAAGGCAGGACCAGUAAUUUUGUGGGCAAUUUCAGGAUUGAACAUAAUCUGACUUCGAUGAUCAGUCUGGUCGAAGAUAAUGAAAUUCUUUGGGCAGAUGCUAGAGGUUUGAAAUUCAACACCAUGGAAAGGUUUAAAGUGAUUUGCCUCAUUAGGUAAAACUGCCCCAUACGCAGAAGCAACUGGAAUGUGCAUGUAAUUAUUACCCACUUGAUUUGCAAAGGGCGGAGCUGCCUUUUUGGAAUUUGAACUUGAAAGCGGGAAAGGAAGCUUGUGACUUUUGCCUAGAGGACAAGAAUGACAUAGAGCAGAAGUCACAUGGCCAUGAAUUGGCAAUUUAUUUCUAGCAACUAAAAACUUUAAAAUAGAAGAAGAGGGAUGCCCUAAUCUAGAGUGCCACACGGCAUCAGAAACGCGACCACCAUAAAAUGCAAAAACGCCAUGUUUAUUGUUUGAUGAAAGACUGGAAAAAGGAUAGAAGCCGUUCUUACUCCGGCCUUGCAAAAGGGUUUUCCCUGUUGUUAAGUCCUGAACACGAUAAAAAUGGGGAUAUAAGGUUAGGGAGCAGUGGUUAUCCAUAGUAAAACGAUUGAUAGAAAUAAUAUUGGUAGAAGCAUUGGGACAAUAUAAGGAGUUGGAAAGAUUAAAGGUAUGGAAGGGAGUGCGAAUAUGUGAGUGACCAACUUUAGAGAUAUGCAAACUUGUGCCGCCAACUACACCAUUCACAUGGUGAUUUCCAUUGUACUCUCGGGGAUCAACCACUUGUGUCAGAUCAUUCGUAAUAUGAGCAUUAGCUCCAGAAUCAAAGAGCCAAUUUUGAACUUGAGGAGGAGCCACGGGGAGAUGGUCAGGAGCAUGAGCAGCGGCAGUAAAGGCCUGAAGCUUGGGCGCAGAAACACGACCUUCGUAUGCCAUGUUCGUACGAUUGUAGCAAUUGAUAGCAGAGUGACCAGGUUUGUGGCAGAUUUGACACUGAACACGACCAUUGGGAUUAAAGCCAUGACCUUGCUGAGGGCCAACACCAAGGACACCAUCAUUAGGAGCACGAGGUCCUGGUUGUCGAAUCACGCCACAACCACCUUGAAAAGGACCAAGGCCGCCAAGACCCGCAGCAGCCUGAAAACCAUGACCACGACUAGCACCGGCCUGAAAACCGCGCCCUCCACGGCUAGCAAUGAGGGCAGUAGGGGCAACAUCAAGAUGGACCACCUGACUCAUCUUUUGACGGCGUUCAGCACCGAGAAGCAAGGCCUCCAAAGCACCAUAGGAGAUGGCAUCCUCUCGAGCUUGAGUAGACGAGACGGUGCUUUCAUACGCAAGACCAACGUUGUUGAGAACAAUGGCUACCAAGUCCGAGUCUGAAACAGGAGACCUCGAGAGAGAUAGAGUGUCAGCGAGAGAGUUCACACAGUCCAAAAAAUCAGCAAUGGAUGAAUCACCACGAUGCGUGUUCAUCAGAUCACUCCGGAGUUGCAAAAGACGACCAGUUGAUGUGGAAGCAUAACGCUCACGGAGAGAAGUCCAAGCGGAGUGAGAACUAGUUUUGCCAAUAAGAGUGGCCAAAACAGUGGGGUGAAUGGAACUGUUGAUCCAUGAUAUAACCAUGACAUCCUGCUGCAUCCAGAGUUCGAAAGCGGGGUUAACAGCAGUGGUGAGAUUGCCGUUAGUAUCUUUGAGAAAAGCUGAAGGACAUUGACUAGUGCCAUCAACGAAGGAGACAAGGUUCCUGCUACGAAGCAGGGGGAGCAUUUGCGCAUGCCAAAGAGGGUAGUUGGUACGAUCAAGCUUGAUCGUCAAAAAAUUGGAGACAUUAGGGAUAGCAGAAGUGGGUAGGGCAGAAGAGGAGUCGGAGGAGGAAGACGCAGAAGAGGCCAUGUCGAAAAAAAAUAAUAAUUUUGCUAGGGUUGUCGUGAGACUUUCUUAGCUCUGUGAUACCAUAAAGGAGAAAUAAUCACACAUAAGAUUAUAAAAGGCUUAAACAGCUGUUGAUGCUCAACUCAGUUGAAUCUGAGAGAGGUUGUGUGUUUGUAUUUAUAGGAAUGAAUUACAUCAAAGAGUUACAAGUCAAACUGAUUACAACUAACUAGUCUAUAUAAAUCCCGAAAUAUAAGAGAUAAUACAAGAGUAUAUUCCCAACUCUUAGCAGCAGCAUCUGUAGUGGAAGAGUCACAGCAAACAACCAACUUAUGGUUUAUCACCCAACACUCAUUAAAAUCUUCCCGACUUCCUUAACAGCUCGAUAUUUCUUGACGUUUACCCCAAUGUUCAUUCUCACUCUUCCAACCACCCUCAAAAAUCACCAAAUAAAAGGAUUCUUCGAAAACCGAGUUUUACCUGCAACAGUUAAUCCACAAAGCAGCAUUGUUAGAAUGAGACCAAAACAGCGGUGCGAAACCGAAAUACAUCAUCAAUGCCACACUUGAUAAAGAGUACGAAAACAUCAGCUUUUCCAAGAACGAAAAGCACAAAGGAAAAAACUUCAGUUCAUCGUACUGACGUUUUUGUUCCACGAUGACAAAAUUUUUAUAGAAACACAUACGGCAAUCAAUCGGUUACAUUAAUCCUUUAUAAGUUUCAAUUUUCACACAAAUUUUUAUAACCUUAUAAGCCGAAUUGACGACCGAGAACUAACAAAGCAAAAUAAACUGUAAUCUUAACAAAGUGAAGCAAUUUACAGUAUGACACGGAAGAACACCACCAAGCGGACGCAGUUCCUGCUGUAAUUCACAAAAGAAUACGUCCACGGCAUCUUGAAUUUACUUCUUCAAUUCCAAAUCAAUAGUAUAUGCUCUCACUCUUCCACAGGAAAAAC